rnacentral:rRNA from 1 species
UACGAACUGUGCAAACGUUAUUCGGAAUCACUGGGCUUAAAGGGUGCGUAGGCGGCUUGUCAAGUAGGGUGUGAAAGCCCCCGGCUUAACCGGGGAAUUGCGCCCUAAACUGACGAGCUGGAGUGGGACAGGGGUGUGUGGAACUUCCGGUGGAGCGGUGAAAUGUGUUGAUAUCGGAAGGAACGCCGGUGGCGAAAGCGAUCGACUGGACCUCUUCUGACGCUGAGGCGCGAAAGCCAGGGGAGCAAAACGGGG